rnacentral:rRNA from 1 species
CCUACGGGAGGCAGCAGUAGGGAAUCUUCCACAAUGGGCGCAAGCCUGAUGGAGCAACACCGCGUGAGUGAAGAAGGGUUUCGGCUCGUAAAGCUCUGUUGUUGAAGAAGAACGUGCGUGAGAGUAACUGUUCACGCAGUGACGGUAUUCAACCAGAAAGUCACGGCUAACUACGUGCCAGCAGCCGCGGUAAU